rnacentral:ncRNA from 2 species
ACUUCCGAGGAGCGUUGCAGCUCACACUGAUGGCCCCAUGCAUCGUGCUGAGUGAGGCUCGGACCCCGCUGUUGUUCCUUUUGACGCAGCGUUUCACAACGGCGCUCACCCACG